rnacentral:rRNA from 1 species
UACAGAGGUCUCAAGCGUUGUUCGGAUUCAUUGGGCGUAAAGGGUGCGUAGGCGGCGCGGUAAGUCGGGUGUGAAAUCUCGGAGCUUAACUCCGAAACUGCAUACGAUACUGCCGUGCUUGAGGACAGGAGAGGAGACUGGAAUUUACGGUGUAGCGGUGAAAUGCGUAGAUAUCGUAAGGAAGACCAGUGGCGAAGGCGGGUCUCUGGACAGUACCUGACGCUGAGGCACGAAGGUCAGGGGAGCAAACGGG